AACCACGAGAUACGCCAGCCGAUCUGGGUCAUCCCAAGACCCCGCACUCUCCAGCCAGUGUGAUGUUCCUGUUCCUCCCGGGAACAGGGCAUGAUGCAAGAUGUCCAGACUCUUGAAAUCGCGGCGGAUGCACAACGGGCUUUGGUUCUCUCGAUUCAGUGGCAAAAUGCAAAGCAAAACGGAUUUCGAUACCCCAAUACUUAAUACCUGAAUUUCGUGUCUGGGCGAAUUGAAAUUAAAAGUAAAUUUGUCCCCCUUAUUCGUGCACCAGAUUCAAUUCACGUUCUACGUACAAAGUUCAG
rnacentral:sRNA from 1 species